AUGAAAACCAAUCCUGAACAUUGGAGCAGGGCUUUUUUCAAACUUGGCUCAUAUUGUGAUUCUUUAGAAAACAAUAUGUGUGAGUCCUUCAACAAUUCCAUCAUGAGAGCAAGAUUUUAUCUUGUAAUUACUAGUCAUGAGAUCAUAAGAAAGAAGGUUAUGGCUAGAAUUCAAGAGAACAGAGCAAAGCCUGCAAAGUGGAGUGGAACUAUAUGCCCUAAUGUGUUCAAGAAGCUGCAGCUCAACAUAAAGAGACCAGGAAGAUGCAGAGUGUUAUGGAAUGGCAAAGAUGGGUUUGAAGUGCAAGAGGGUGAGUAUAGAAGGUUCACAGUUGAUCUGGAGAAAUGGACAUGUUCUUGCAGAUAUUGGGAGCUCUCUGGACUGCCUUGUGCUCAUGCAAUCAGUUCAAUAUACACAUGUGGUUUGAAACUUGAUGAUUUCAUAGCAGAUUGUUACUCCAUCAACACAUACAACAAAAUAUAUGACCAUGUGCUGCAACCAGUGGAGGGCAAAGAGAAUUGGCUUAUUUCUGACAACCCUAGACCACAUCCUCCUAUCAGGGUUAAUAAUAAACCUGGGAGGAAGAAGACUGAAAGAACUAGAGAGGAGCAAGAGAAGCCCAAAAGCAGCAAAUUUCAAGGAAAGGAGUCAAGAUGA
rnacentral:rRNA from 1 species